rnacentral:rRNA from 1 species
CCUACGGGAGGCUGCAGUGAGGAAUAUUGGUCAAUGGCCGUAAGGCUGAACCAGCCAAGUAGCGUGAGGGAAGACUGCCCUAUGGGUUGUAAACCUCUUUUAUGCGGGGGUAAAGGUGCCCUAGUGUGGAUGUUUACAGGUACCGCAUGAAUAAGGACCGGCUAAUUCAGGGCAAGCAGCGGCGGUAAUACGGUAGGUCCGGGGGUUAUCCGGUUUUAUUGGGUUUAAAGGGAACGUAGGCUGGUCUUUUAGCGUGCCGUGAAAUUUUGUGGGUUAAACAUGCGAGUGCGGCGUGAACUGGAGACCUUGAGUGCGCGGAAGGCAGGCGGAAUUCGAGGUGUAGCGGUGAAAUGCGUAGAUAUCACGAAGAACCCCGAUUGCGAAGGCAGCCUGCCGCAGCGUUACUGACGCUGAAGGUCGAAAGCGCGGGUAUCGAACAGGAUUAGAUACCCGAGUAGUC